AUCAAGUUAGUUUAAAAAACGUUAGGAUGUGGGCCUAAAAUUAAUGUUAAUUCACAUUACCUGAUA
rnacentral:tRNA from 3 species